ACUCUCACACACGUUUCUCUUUCUCUCUCUCUCUCUCCCUCUCUUUCUCUCUAACCAAUAAACGCUUAUCACAAACCACGCUCGCUUCACCUGUCUCUUUAAUUUCUUGCUUAGUUCGCUGUCGCGAGGUUUUACGUUAACGCGACUAAGCGCUCGCUAACACGAUCCGGAAAAAAAAUAUUCCGGUGUCAUGUCAUCAGUGAACAAAAAUGUGAUCACGGAAUUUGUUUCAGAUACCGACGGAUCUCUCUCUCUCUCUCUCUGCUUCUGUCUCUGUCUCUGUUCGAUUAUCUCUCGCACGAUUAACUGAAUUCUCAGUUGGGAAGUGGAAGUAGAGAUUGGAAUGCAACAUAUAUAGAAGAUGUUAUGGCGCAAUAUGAAAUAUUGUUCUGUGUGUUUAAUAUCAUACGUCAAGUGUCGGGAUGUUAAAAGUAAUCUUCGAUUUGAGCGAGAGAUGUUAUCUUAAAAAGUUUUUCUAAUCGAUAUUAUACAAGCAGAAGAAAAAUUGAAGCUGACGAAAUUGAAGAAAAGACAAAGAGUAUCUGCACGACGAACAAGAAACAUAGGAGAAUAUACUGUGUGAAAUAAAAUGCGAAACUGUGUAAUAUAUUUGUGUCGAUAUUUAUAGAUUACGGUUUAUUUUGUUACGACAUUCUUACGAUAUGUCGCCACGUUGUCUUCACGUUGUGUCACUGGCAAUGAUGUCGCGUUUGCGUCUUCUCGUUAUUAUCGUGCGCAACCUGUGAACCCGCCGCCGUGCGGCUGUCUGAUAAUGAAAUGCCGUUCUGUAUACACACGGGCUUAUCUCGUGUGCGAAACCGGGAUUAAUAAAUCUUAUAAUCUCUGAACCGAUAAGUCUGCGCGAUAUUGUAAAACGCACAACUUAAUGCGCUGUUGAUGCACGCAUUCGACCGAGAUCGCGAGCUUUAUACUCGCGGUGGUGGAUAAUUUUGAGACGUGUCCGUUUUAUUCUGACGGAAUCGAGAGAAAGAGAGAACGAAGAGUACGACAUCCACUAUCGAAGUGUUUCACGAUUAACGACAAAUCGGUAGUUUCACACGUAUAGAUGUGUCGCAACAAACUUAGAUAGAUUAUAUGCAAAAAGUCCAGUGGCCGGGGUAUCUAUAGUCCGAUCUUAUAUUUAUAAGAGCGCCUUUUAAAUUUUUAUUUUAUCUUUUAAGACGUUGCAUAAUGAGACGGCGGCGUCUUAAGAUGAACUUUUAAGACGAUCUUAAAUCUGAGAUUAGAGACUGUGAAUACAGCCCUGUGAGAUCUUCGAUAAGAGAGUGAAGUUCUUAAUAGUGGACUAAAAGGGUCGAUAUUCAUAUAAUAGGAUCUUAUAUUUAAGAUCGUCUCUUAAGUUUAUCUUGAAAUAAUUUCUAGCCAUAAUGAAACGUUGUAACAUCUCGUAGAUGAUACACAAGACCUCACAAUACAUAAGACAUGCGACCGCGAAUAUCGGCCUGAGGAAAAUCAAUGGUUAGAAAAAAAAAAAUAACCAAGUAAAUAAAUAAAUAUUUGCCAGAAAAAAAAAACUGUGUCUUCGACUAAAUAGACUACACAAUUACACGUGUAAACUUUGCAAAGCACAAUUUUAUGUAAAAUUGUUUAUACCUAAAAAUUUUACUAUUAAAUUAAAAUGUUACAUCACGGUGAAUGUUUUUUCUUCAAUAUGCGAUAAGCAACGUUAGACCUAGAAGGAAAGUCUUGUUUCGGUAAUUGGUCAUUCUUGAUUGGAACCGCGAGAUAAAUUAUGAACAUACAAUAGUUGAUAAUGUAAACAGGCAACGCGUAAAGAACGAGUCUUACGAAUCUCGAUCUCGAUAAACAAAAAUAUGUUCUUACGUGUCUGUCUAAAUUACGAUAACUCGAAUUUUUUUAAUGAAUACAUUACAUAUGUACGUACGCAUAUUGUGUUCCUCGCACGUAUAUUACGUACAAUAUUCAAAUAGAAACAAGUUUUCGUAAGUUGUAGUGGUUUAUAAUUUCUUUCUGCGAAAAACACAAAAGUUUUAUCGUGUUUCAGAAGUGCUUUCGCUCUUUCGAACAAAUUGUUUUUGUCUAACUGCGCAGCGUAUAUUGAUGUAAGAAAUACACAUUGAAAGCACAUUUAAAAAAAACAGUAGCGAACGCAUCAGUUUGUAAAUAUAAGAUCAAUGGCUUAGACGCAAGAACGAUAAAAAAAAAAAAAAAAAAAGAAAUUUCUCAAUUUCUGACCGCGCGACCGAUUUUAUCUCCUACUUGUGGGCUUUGCUAAAUACACGGACAGCAAAAAGACGUGAAUUAACGCGAUAUUACCGAUAUAGCUGAUACACGGCGCGACGAUAACGCGGUCGUUAUCGGAGUGAUACGUUUAUGACACAGUUGGCACGUUUACAACGCACACACCCACACACACACACACGCGCGCAUACACACGCACGUAUACAGUUUGCUUUUACGCAAAUUGUGCGCGAUUGUGGAAAAACACACGAUGAAAAAGUUGUGAUCGUCGAGUAAUAUUAUACAAAAAAGUGGUGUCAUUUGCGUUGUUAUUAUUUAUUACACGCCGUCGUCUGAAUGACAUCGAUUGACAUCAGUGCGAGAAUUAAACGGAAAAUGACGCUUAAGAAGGACGGAAAGAGAACCUCGAAGAAGAUAAGCAAGUCCGGCCACAAAGCAGCAGCGAACAGCAACGAUGGGAGUGCAAACGUGUCGCAACAAGAACAUCUCGCGAAAGAAUGCAAGCACGCGAAAUCGGAAUCAGAAUGUCAGGCGUCCUCUGGCGUUAGAAAAUCAGACCUGAAAGUGAGCAGUUCCUCGAGACAGGCAAACGACGCGAGCGGAAAUAAGCUCGAGCGACGCACGUCGUUCCGUCAGAAAUUCGGCGCUUUAUUCAAGGAAACCAAGGGCGAUUUUUCCACGGCGAUCAAUCGCGGUCUGCAACCGAUCAGACGCAGCCUGAGUUUCAAGGAUCUCAAUCGCGGGGAGACGAAGAAGCCCUACAGAACCAGCAGCAUGCAGUGGUACAACAGUCUCAGCUCGUUGGCGGAGGACGAGCACGUCGACGAAGCUGAAAUCGCGUACAAAAAGACGACGGACGAGAAGGAUAUCGUUAACGGCAGAGUGCAGGUCACCAGAACGCGCAGUAUGAUAGAGAAACCUCUCGCCACGAAUUUUCGAAGUGCGAAGACCCUCUCGUACUCGCCGGAGCUGCGUUACAGGCGACAGAGCGAUUGCUACUGUUCCAAUAUAGAUCUAAGUAAUCCGUUUUGGGAAGCAAGCAGUCUUCCGGCUCUGAAUCGCGCUGUCAUCGAUGCAAAUAGCGAAACGAAAAUGUUAUCAAAGCAACAGGAUAGAUACGAGCACUUGAGGUCUAGAAAGGUGUCUUCACUGGAAUUUUUUAUCAAGCAACACUUGGUGCGUUCGAGGUCGUUGACCCAAUUAGACGCUCUGAGCAAUAGCAUGUUAAACAGAGGUGAGCAUUAUGCGGAGGGCAAGUCCUCUCAACAGCAAGCCCAUCACCUGCACCAUCAUCAGCAACGACCGCAGCUACAGCAUUAUCCCCAUAGCGUGGAGAGCAAUCGGAUUCGAUUUCUUGCGCCCGGUCAUGUGACGCCUGUCGAGAGUUCCAACGGCGCUAAACGCAAACUUUCUCGAUCUCAGGCAUCUAGCAACGAGUACUUCAGCGUCAGUUUCGAGGUAGGUGACGACGCCGCAACAUCCUUCGAUCGCGAAGUCUUUCUGCCCGCUACGAGAGGUAUUUUCUUGAUAGAUCUGCUGACCCCGGUCUGCGAUCGUCGCGGCGUCGAUCUGUCACGCAUCGAUGUUUUGGACAGUUCGUCGACGCCGUUGUCUCUGCUGACGACGGACGCCUCCACUCUCGGUGGCAAACAUCUGCGAGUGGUAACCGUUACCGACGACAAAUUGAAUUCUCGAUCAACGAGUCAAAGAGGAAAUCAAAAUGUGCCACUGUGGAAAACCAGCGGGAAUUAUCGAAGUCGAAACAGCGGUUUGUUCAACGUUCCCAAGGACACGAGCACCGCCGAAUCGCAGGGAGACUGUAGCACAACGGUCGCUUCCGGUCGCAGUUCCGCCGCGGGAUUCAAAACCAGCAAGCAACGUUGGAGCGGAUUUUUCACCAACACCAAGGACGUCAAGAUGGAUCUCUUGACGGCCCAAUUGGACGAGUACAACAAGUACGGCGUGCCGAAACCCCCGAACGUUUACGUGUACCACGACAUGACGCUCGACGAAGAAGUUCUUUACAGUUUGGAGCGGGACUGGCGCGAUAUCGUUAAGGAUUCCGAUCUGCUCUCGAAGAAACAGACGAAACAACAGACCGCUCUCUGGGAAUUGGCCGAGACCGAAGUGACUUACAUAAAAACGUUAAAGGUCGUGACCGACCUCUUCAUGGCGUGUCUCUGCAAUCUGCAAACUUCGAAUAUCCUGAACGAGGUUGACAGAUCGAAGCUCUUCAGCAACAUACUCGAUAUCUACGCCGCUAAUCGCUACUUCUGGACCGAGUAUCUGCUUAUGAUGGUGAACGUGUCGAGAUCGAACGGGCGGCCGCUCGAUCCGAGUCAUCUCCUUCUGGGGUUCGAGACCUUCGAGCAGACAUUCGCACCUUACGUAAGAUACUGCGCCGAGCAGAGCAAGUGUCAGCAGUAUUGCAAGGACCGAUUGAACGAUAACCAACUUUUCACGGCGUAUCUGGUGUGGUGCGAAACGCAAAAAGACUGCAACCGACUGAAACUCAUGGACAUACUGGUGAUGCCGAUGCAAAGACUGACUAGGUACACGCUUUUGCUCCAAGCUGUUUAUAAGAAUACUGAGAAUGAGGGGCAACGCGCGGAAUUAAUCCACAUGAUCAAAUCCGUGGACGAUUUCGUGGCGUUUGUAAACGCGGCCUUGAGGAGAAACGAGGAGGCCGAUAAAUUGUACAGUGUGGCUUCCCGUUUGGAAAGUUACGACGUCGUCGAGACCAAAGGCGACGAGGAAUUGGAAAAACUGAUAAAACCGUAUCGAAAUUUUGACAUAACCACGGCGCCGAUGCCCAGAUGUCCUAAGGACACUCAGAGAACGCUCCUUCGGGAGGGAGAUUUGAAGUUGAAAGACGCCACUACCAACAAGAUGGAAGUGCAUGUAUUAUUACUGACAGACAUGCUGUUGAUCUGCAAACCGUCGACAAAAAAAAUGUUGAAGAUCAUUAGGGAACCGUACGUUCUCGAUCGUAUACGAAUAUACGAACUCAAGAAACAGCCCAACAAUUUGGGAUUGACGUAUCUUCACGAAUACGGAACACUGUCGGCUGUUUUCAUUCUUAGUGCUAGUGAUUCGAAAUUAGCAAAGUCAUGGGUGGAAUCUUUGAAGCAAGCCCAGCAACAAUUCGCUCUGAUAAAAGUGCCGUCGCUCGGCGAGUCUCUGAUAAAUCUCACACCCGUCAGCGGUCAGCCAAGUAUAGCGGACAAUGGUGAUUUCGAAACGGAGGAGUACGAAGGUAUGUUGUCGAGAACACCGCGCGGCAGUAGCAGAGCGUCGCACACCAGCAGCCUCGCACACAGUCAUAGCGGUAGUAUGGAGAUGGAAUGCGUAUCUCCGGGCAGCAGCAGUUUUCUACCGAGCAGAAACGUCAGCGUGGAGACAAACGAGCCACCGCGAGCGUCGAGCUCGUUAUCGUCGGAGGAAGGUGGCGAAUCCACCUCCUGUUACAAACCAAAAUCCGCGCACACCAAGCGCUCAUUGUUGAGCAAAUCACCGACACCGAACACGCUGAGCGUUCGAGUACCACAUUCGAAUCUGGGUCGAUCGUUACCCAACUUAACACUGACCACUUCGCCACAAACUUCUACCGUGUCGUCGGCGCCGCCGAACUCGCUGCUGUUAGUGCCGCAGAUGACGAAGAACAAGGACACCCUCCUCUCACCAGGACAACGAGGCAUAUCGUAUCCACCGCCGUCGCCACCGCGAGGCGCACUCAGACGGGCAUUUGCAUUACCGCAAUCCCGAAAUCCGCCUUUGAUCAAGAUGCGACACGUGAACACAUCUUUAACGCAAACCGUACAGGUAACCAUGAGCAACUCCGAUACUACCGAAGUUGUCGAGGGAAGACUGAGAAGGGUAGAUUCUUUGCAAAGAGUGCCGUCGACAAGCAGUAUCGUCGAAGAAAAGAAAUAACAUGAAAAUAUUGGCCUAACAUGAAAAUAUUGGUUUGGUGUGAAAAAAAGACGUUUUAGCACACGGAUGCACGACGAACACGUUAAAUGGAUGUACCUGAUGUGCGUGUACACGGAUAAUGCUCAACGGAUGUAAUUUGUAUGUGUAUUGAUCCAGAGACUCGUCUCGUAAUGAUCUCUGAGACAUUCCACGAAACGAGUAAAGCAAUUUUUACAACUGAUUGGGGCCAUUCAACACCAACGAA